UACGUAGGUGGCAAGCGUUGUCCGGAUUUAUUGGGUUUAAAGGGUGCGUAGGCGGCUUUGUAAGUCAGUGGUGAAAUACGGUAGCUUAACUAUCGAGGUGCCAUUGAUACUGCAGAGCUUGAGUACAGAUGAGGUAGGCGGAAUUGACGGUGUAGCGGUGAAAUACUUAGAUAUCGUCAAGAACACCUAUAGCGAAGGCAGCUUACUAGGCUGUAACUGACGCUGAGGCACGAAAGUGUGGGGAUCAAACAGG
rnacentral:rRNA from 1 species